rnacentral:rRNA from 1 species
GACGAACGCUGGCGGCGUGCCUAAUACAUGCAAGUCGAGCGGAUGGAUGGGAGCUUGCUCCCUGAAGUCAGCGGCGGACGGGUGAGUAACACGUGGGCAACCUGCCCCUAAGAUCGGGAGAACUACGGGAAACCGGAGCUAAUACCGGAUAUGAUCAUCCCUCACAUGAGGGAUGAUGGAAAGACGGUUUCGGCUGUCCCUUAGGGAUGGGCCCGCGGCGCAUUAGCUAGUUGGUGAGGUAACGGCUCACCAAGGGGACGAUGCGUAGCCGACCUGAGAGGGUGAUCGGCCACGCUGGGACUGAGACACGGCCCAGACUCCUACGGGAGGCAGCAGUAGGGAAUCUUCCGCAAUGGACGAAAGUCUGACGGAGCAACGCCGCGUGAGUGAAGAAGGUUUUCGGAUCGUAAAACUCUGUUGUCAGGGAAGAACAAGUACCAUAGUAACUGAUGGUACCUUGACGGUACCUGACCAGAAAGCCACGGCUAACUACGUGCCAGCCGCCGCAGUAAAAC